rnacentral:rRNA from 1 species
GGGGGGGGGGGGGGGGGGGGUGGGGGGCUGGGGGGCGGAGGGGGGGGGCCGGCUUUGGGGGGGUGCGCGGGGGGCGAACGGGUGGGUAGCGCGUGAGUAGCCUGCGCUUGCCUGUGGGAUAACUUCGGGAAACUGGGGCUAAUACGGGGUGGGGGCUCCUGCUGCAUGGUGGGGGGUUGAACGUUUCGGCGGUUGGGGAUGGACUCGCGGCUUCUCAGCUUGUUGGUGGGGUAGUGGCGUACCAAGGCUUUGACGGGUAGCCGGCCUGAGAGGGUGACAGGCCACAUUGGGACUGAGAUACGGCCCAGACUCCUACGGGAGGCAGCAGUGGGGAAUAUUGCACAAUGGGCGGAAGCCUGAUGCAGCAACGCCGCGUGCGGGAUGACGGCCUUCGGGUUGUAAACCGCUUUCGCCUGUGACGAAGCGUGAGUGACGGUAAUGGGUAAAGAAGCACCGGCUAACUACGUG